rnacentral:rRNA from 1 species
UGAGGAAAAUAUUAGAACCAUUGGAGUAGUGAUAAAAUGUUUUGAUACUAAUGGGACGGAUAACGGCGAAGGCAAACCUCUAUGUAAUAACUGACGUUGAGGGACGAAGGCUUGGGGAGCGAAUAGGAUUAGAUACCCUAGUAGUCCAAGCAGAGAAUUAUGAAUGUUAUA